rnacentral:rRNA from 1 species
UAGGGAAUCUUCGGCAAUGGGGGCAACCCUGACCGAGCAACGCCGCGUGAGUGAAGAAGGUUUUCGGAUCGUAAAGCUCUGUUGUAAGAGAAGAACGUGUGUGAGAGUGGAAAGUUCACACAGUGACGGUAACUUACCAGAAAGGGACGGCUAACUACGUGCCAGCAGCCGCGGUAAUACGUAGGUCCCGAGCGUUGUCCGGAUUUAUUGGGCGUAAAGCGAGCGCAGGCGGUUUAAUAAGUCUGAAGUUAAAGGCAGUGGCUUAACCAUUGUUCGCUUUGGAAACUGUUAAACUUGAGUGCAGAAGGGGAGAGUGGAAUUUCAUGUGUAGCGGUGAAAUGCGUAGAUAUAUGGAGGAACACCGGUGGCGAAAGCGGCUCUCUGGUCUGUAACUGACGCUGAGGCUCGAAAGCGUGGGGAGCAAACAGG